ACUUCCGGACCGGCGGGCGGGCGGGCGGACGCUAACUUCUGAGCCCCAUUCGGCCUUCGAGGUGGGAGAACGGGCGGGGCUACAGCGGGAGGUUGCCUACGGAGCAGCAGAGGCGGCCGCGUGGUGUGGUGUGCGCGCCCGGGCUCUGAGCAGAUAGCGUUUGGGGUCACAACCUUUAGAAAGUACGCAAAGGAAGGUGAGAUGGAGAAGGACACUACAGGAGAGCCUCCACCACACGGCCACUGCCUGCUUCAGUGACCUCCAAACUGGGAUGGUCAAGAUGAUCUGUGGAGUGCUAGAAAAACGUACUAGAGCUUGUAUUCCUACUUAUUUUAUGUUUUUAUAUCUAUUGUCAUGUGUCUUAUAAUUUACAUAAGAUUAAUACACAGUGCAAAUUACCUUAUAAAGAAAUAUACAUACAUAGAUAUGCAUAACCCUAGAUGUUUUAUCAAUAUAGGCACAAUGUCAAAAAUUUGGAGAUGACUUUUCUAUUUUACCAGUCUCCAUAUACUCUCUGCCUGUGGUUCAGAAUCACCUUGUGGGUUUGUUGAAACACAGACUGUUGGACCUGUUCCCAGCAGUGGAUGGGGCCUGAAAUGUACAUGUGCUGCUGCUCUGGGAACCACACUCAGAGAACUUAUGCUCUAAGCUGGAACAGAAGAAGGUUCUGCCUGAAUGUGGCAGGUUUCCUGACCUGAUGCCUCAGCUCACAUUCCAUCUUCUUGAAAUGCCUUCUCAGCCCGUGCUCUGCAGCAAGAGUAGCCACCGCAAUGAGAAGCCCGCGCACCGCAAUGAAGGGUAGCCCCCACUCGCGGCAACUAGAGAAGGCCCGCGCACAGCAACGAAGACCCAACGCAGCCAAAAAUAAAUAAAUAAAAUAAAUAAAUUUAUUUUAAAAAAAGCAAA